rnacentral:rRNA from 1 species
CCUACGGGAGGCUGCAGUGAGGAAUUUUCGUCAAUGGGGGCAACCCUGAACGAGCAACGCCGCGUGCAGGAAGAAGGUUUUCGGAUCGUAAACUGCUUUUCUGUGGGACGAGAACGGACGGUACCACAGGAAGAAGCCCCGGCUAACUACGUGCCAGCAGCCGCGGUAAUACGUAGGGGGCGAGCGUUGUCCGGAGUUACUGGGCGUAAAGCGCACGCAGGCGGUCUGGUAAGUUUGGAGUGACAGUGCCCGGCUCAACCGGGCAAGGUCUCUGAAGACUGCUGGACUUGAGGACCAGAGAGGGACAUAGAAUUCCGGGUGGAGUGGUGAAAUGCGUAGAUAUCCGGAGGAAUACCAAAGGCGAAGGCAGUGUCCUGGCUGGUAACUGACGCUCAGGUGCGAAAGCUAGGGGAGCGAACAGGAUUAGAUACCCGGGUAGUC